rnacentral:rRNA from 1 species
CGGGAACAGCUCAAAUUUUGAAAUCUGGCGGUCUAUGGCCGUCCGAGUUGUAGAUUAACGAGGUGUCGUCCGCGCCGGACCGCGUACAAGUCCCUUGGAACAGGGCAUCAGAGAGGGUGAGAAUCCCGUCCUUGACGCGGACUACCGGGGCUUUUGUGAU